GAAAACUUUAAAUAGAUGCUACAGGCGCGUUUUAGAACUUCCAACAGUGCCUUCAUACGCCGGCGCAGAGUACGCCCGGUACGCUACCGGCGACGAAUCAAAACACCGCCCAUUGAGGGUUGAGGGUUUUGCAUUCGCUGAAAGAGUCUACUAAGAAUCUCCCUUGUGCAUUCCAGUGUCUCCUUCAAAAUUGUUGACAUUGAAAGUGAGGAUGACCUACUUUGUACACGUGCUUCUCCUUCUCCGUUGCCGCUAUUGUCUAGUGGGAUUUGCAUUCCUCUGAGUUCCCUUAACAAAUUAAAUUUAACAAUGGUUUAUUCAAGCACUCUGUAUACAUAUCAGGUCUUGAUGUUUACAUAGUGAAUGUGUACAUGCCCAAAUCGAUGGAUAAGAGAUGUGAUAAGUUAUUUUUUUUUUACACUUUCUUUCUUUGACAACUGCUUCUUAAUCUUCAGAUUUGGUUAAAAUUUACUAUAAUCUGUAGACCAUGUUCCCAGGGUUCAAAAGCACUAUGGGUAGCAGGCGUCUUGGAUCAAGAAGAACAUAUUUUCAAGUCAAAGAUUCUAAAUUUGGUAGUUGUUACUAAAACUCACGGGAGGCCGAAUGGAUAUCGUAAGGUUUUGAAGGAUGACAUUUGAAGGACGACAAGUGUUUGUACCUUGGAAAUGAUGAUUGUAGACAAAAUGUUUGGUACAACAUGUAAUUAUGUGCAAGGCUACCUGCUAUUUUUGAAAUCUUAUGAUAUGCUGUCUCGUUGACAUUGAGUUGAUAAAUAAGGAGUAGCAUCUAUAUCUGGAUUACUUAGAAGUGCUUCUAACCAGUUUUUACUCUGGUUUUGGAUUACUUUUGCAGUGGGUUAGAGUCCCACAUUGUUUGGAGAAUGAAAAUCCAGAAACUCUGCGCACCCCCUUACAUCUAAUGUUUUACCUACAGAGGAUGAUUUCCUGGAUAACAAAUUCAGUGCUUCAGCUAGCUCGGUUUUGGAUGGGACGAGUCUUAAACAAUUGUAGCUGGCAGAUCAACAGAGGAUGCCUCAUUUAGGGAGUCUCUUGAACUUCAUAAGAUUCAGAUGUGAUGCAUGUGAGAUUGAAAUCAUUUAUGUGGAGCUGUUCUUCUGCAAAGAAGCCUGAUUUGAUCAUCUUAUGGAUUUCUUUAAACAGAUUGCUGAAAAAUAUGGUUCUGGCUACCAUCUUUUAGUCGAGACUGUCUCCUCGGCCACCCUAUCCUGAGUACGCUAUUGUUAAAUCUAGCUAUGAGCAUGAAUUUAAUAUGUUUUGGUUUGGUUAAAGCAGGACUUGAUUCUGAUUCACAAGUUACUGACAUCUGUCCCACUUCAUGCGGUAAAAUUCUAUAGUACUUGUCUCAGUCAUAUGAUACACUCAAGAAGUUAAAUACAUGUAAAUUUUUUGCAAAUCAGUCUUAGAUGUGAAAGGUGUUGAAGUUGUUAAUACAGGAUUAGUUGCUCACUUACAUUCUCAAACCUUUUACGACACUUUGUAGCUUAUUCUCUUCAACAUUCAUAUUCCUUCCUCUGAAGGAUAUAUGCCAGUCUAAAUGUGGAAAACAACUCCUGACAAGCACUCCUUCUCAGGCUUCUCAUUCCAUUCUGAGAUGAGUGAAUUCAUUUUGAAGAACUGCUUGAGAAGGUAAUGACUGUCUAAAAACUCAUUGAUGUAUCGUUUCAAUGUGGAGUGUUAACUUAGUGAAUUAUCAGGUCCUAUCUGGACAAAAGAGGACAACAACUUAUCUUGAUUUCGAGCAAGAAUCAGUACGUUUAUGGUCAUCUAAUUUGAAAUAGAUUUUCCUUGUGCUGCUUGUCUUAUGGGGGGGAAGACUUGAAACUCUUUAAUAGGUUACAUUGAUUUUGAGUCUUUUACCAUGCUUUUGUCGACCAUGCCUGAAACUGGUUACCGAUAUUACACAACUAUGCUGACCAAAUUCAAAACUGGGGUUGGAUCUGCAAUAUUCAUUCUCUAGCUUCAAGAUCAUUUACCAGGUAAGUUACGGUUAUUAAAUUUGAUUUUCAUCAAAACUAGUCUAUGGAACUUGAUAAAAUUGUCAUUUACCUGAAAUUCCAUUCCAUUAAAUUUUGCAACAUUCAUUGAAGUUGAACCUAACUCUAGCAUGAAGUUAUAUGAUUUGGAUAAAGUGGGAACUUAAAUCUGAUUCACAAGCAACCAACAUCUGUCUCAUUUCUUGCGGUAACAUUCUCUAAUACUUGUCGCUGUCAUAUUAUACAUUCACAAUGUUAAGUACAUGUAAACCAUUUGGAAAUCAGUCUUAAACAGGAAAGGUAAUCUAGUAUUUAUUAUUGUUGUUAAUACAGGAUUAGGAAGUGACAUCAACUAAUAGGACAUAAGAAUUGGGCUUAGAAAUGACUGGGAAUAAUGCUACACUGUGUCGUAAAUACACAAGGGCUGGAAGAGCCUACAUUCUGGAACCUUUUACUACACUUAAAAAGGUUAUUUUCUUUAGCAUUCCUUUUCCUGCCUCUUAAGUGUGGAAAACAAAGCAUGGCAAUCACUUCUUCUCAGGCUAGUUGUUCCAUUCUGAGGUAUCAAUAGCACAGUUUAUAUCAGUUCUGUGCACCAUCUUGUUGAAAGCAAGAAGGAUUUUUGAGGGUUUAAGGCUUUCAAGUGUCAUUUGUGCACAUUGUCUCUUAAGUUCCAUUUUAUGCUGUAAUUGGGUUGAUUGUAGUGAGUGAAUUAUGAAUUAUUACUUCUAAGGGAUUUUUUCCCCUAGUACCAUCAAUAACUAGACAAUGCUAGAAGUUCUCUUUUUGAAUUAUAGGGCCUUGAAGCUUGAAUAGCUUCCAACUUAUUUGGAAAACACUCAUGACAUCGUUCAUGUUUUAGGAAAUACACCACUAGCUAACAAGAUUCUCUUGCAUGUGUUUCAUAAGAUAUAAUUGUUUUCUUGAUAAUACAGGUUUCUUGUAUUUUGUACGUUAAGCUAACUGAUGUGGAUUUGUUAGAAGAUAUUCAACGGGUUAGUCCAUCAACACUAACUAGCUCUCACACUUCACUCCUUCAUUUAACUCCAAAUCUUUCUUAUCGAAUCUUGCUUAAGUUUUUGUUUAAAUGCCAUGGCAUGUUCUCGGAAUAAUGUCUUUGCAACCGACAGCUUGCUGACACAGACGGAUCAUCAACAGUACCCUAAUAACUCCGAUAUGGAUAGAGUGGAAGGCUAACUAAUUUUGGUGAAGCAUAAUUGAUGGAUUGAUUCUUGAUAUUGUCAUUCCAGUUAUUUAUAUAUUUUCCUAAGUGCAAUUAUGUAUGCUGAUGCAUUAUUGUCUUCCGAAUGUUCCUCAUUGUUGAGGAGUUGAACACUGAACAGAUUUCAUUGUGUUUUCAAGUGAGUUGAAAAUUGCAUUUUAGGAAAUAUCUGUGUUGGAACUGUAUUUUAGGAAAUAUCGCGUUGGAACUGCAUUUGAUGGUAUGUUUAGGAGAACAUUGCGUAUUAUUAAUGACAUCUUUUUGUUUGUUCGUGUGCUCAUGGGUGACUAAUUACUGUCCCUCUUGUCAACUUGGGUGCUCUGCAUGAGAAAAUUUCCAAGUUAGAUUUGUGGAGUAGGAGUUCCUCUGAGGAUAUUUCCUGUCUGGUUUACUUCUAAAGCCGUACUCAUCUGAUUGAUCUUUUAGUUUGAAGUCCAAAUAGGGUCUUGCAUUUUCCGUAAGAGUCUCUGCAAAGUAUCUCCCUUGCACAUCCCAGUGUCUCCUUCAAAAUUAUUGAUAUUGAAAGGGGUUUGCCUUUGAUACACCGGCUAACUCAAGGAUAUUUCCUGUCUUGUUUGCUUGCAAUGAGGAUGAACUGCUUUGCUCAUGUGCUUCUCCUUCUCCUUGCUGCUGUUGUCCAAUGGUUGGGAUUCAUCCGAGUUCCCUUAACAAAUUGAAUGCAAGCUUUCAGGAUAAAGAGAUGUGAUAAGUUAUCUUUUCUACACUUUGUUUCUUUAACAACCACUGUUUAAUUUGCAGAUCCUUCAGUAUUUCAGUAUAUUGUCCUGUCAAAGAAAAACGGAAAACUAAUCUUGGUUAACAUUUACUAAAUUGGAUGCUUUCCUUUUAUGGUGUUUUUGUUUUCCUUGACCUUCGUAAUGCAGGUUUCAAUUCAAGAUUUGUUUCUUAAGAACCUAUACAAAAAUUACUUAAUAUCAUAGCUACUUGUUUUUGACAGUGCUUCUGACAUUGAGAGCUGAAGUAGAUCUCAGAUAUAUUCACUGUUUUUGUUGAACCUAAACUGCGCAGGAUAAGUUUUAUAUGAUUUGACUUUGGGGCCUCCAAAGAACUGUGGCACAUCGGUGUGAUUUUUGUUGGCAUUUAUGACUUGGUCUCCUGUUUUUUGCUUACCCACUAUGGAGGUUGGAAAUGCAGCUUUGGCACUGUUAAUCUUUGUAUUAUUCAAGAGAGUAGAGACUCAAGAGCUUUCGAGGAUACUUUUUUAUAUACCCUUUGUUUCAAAAGGUUAAGAGAGGAGUGGUUUGACUUUUGAUUUCAAAAAAAGAAGAGAGGAGUGGUUUGACUUAUUGCACAAAAAAAGAAAAGAAGGUGUGGUUCUUCUCUAAAUGUGCAAAACAAAGCAUGACAAGCACUCUGUCUCAGGCUUUAUAUUCCAUUAUGAGGUAUCAAUACCACAGUUUAUAUCAGUUUUGUGCUCCUUGCUGAAAGGAGGAAGGAUUUUGAGGGUUUAGGCUUUCAAGUUUCAUUUGUGCACAUUGACUCUUAAGGUACAUUUUAUAUUUUAGUUGGGUUGAUUAUAGCGAGUGAAUUGUGAAUUAUUACUUCUAAGCGAUUUUUUGGUUCCAAUACAUCAAUAAAAGACAAUGCUAGAGAGUCUCUCUUUUUGAAUUAUGACGCUUUGAAACUCGAAUAGCUUCCAACUUAUUUUGGAAAUCUGUUCAUGAUAUCAUUAAUAUUUUAGGAAAUACUCCACUAGCUAACAAGAUUCUCUUGCAUGUGUUUCAUAUGAAAAUGGUUGUGUUCUUGACAAUAAUACAGGUUCUGACGUUCCGUGUAUUUUGGGCGUUAGUCUAUCUGAUAUGGAUCUGUUAGAAUUGCUUCAACAGAUUUUUUGGUGCUUGAAUUGCACAUGACCUUCUACUUUUCUUAUUUUUAUUAUUCUCUCCAGUAUAACUCAAAAUGACAAUCAAACAAGUUUUAUCUUGAGCUGAAAAACUGUUGCCUUGGCAAGGCAUCUCAAGUGGGUCUGUGAAAUUUUGGAGAAAGUUCCAUCCCAUGGUGUUACUUCUCUGUCUCGUAAGGCUAUCUGAUGCUUGAAUCCAUGGCAGGUUCCUAAGCUUUUGAGCUGCUUCGUUUUUUGACUUGGUAAAGUUCAGUUUAUUCCACCCCCCUCACCUGAUCACCCUUUUCAUGAUAUCUUACCACUCCCUCUUUUCUUACUCUUAGUGCGCAGUCUGCUCUGUUUUAUACACAAUGAAGAUUUGGAGGUUUUCAUCCUUCUAUGAUCAGUUAAUUAAACAUGUUGCUUGUCGAGCUAAAGAACUCAUGCAACGGCACUACAGGGGGGUCUAUGAUAUUUUGGGCAAAGUUCCAUUUUGGUCUUUCUUCUCCGCCUCAUAGGCCAACUAAUGCUUGCACAGCCAUGCUGGGUUUCAAAGCUUUUGAGCUAAUUAUUUUGGCGUUGCAAAGUUUAAUUUUUUAAUUCAUUCAAAAAGUUGAGUACAUGUAAACCAUUUGCAAGUCAGUCUUACAAGGGAAAUGUAAUAUAGUAUUGAUUGUAGUUGUUAAUACAAAAUUAGGAAGUGACAUCAACUAUUAGGACAUAAGAAUUGGGAUUAGGAAUUAUUGGGAAUAAAGCUACACUAUGUAGUGCAUACAUAACGACUGGGAGAGAUUGCUCAUCAGAACCUUUUACUACACUUCAGAGCCUAUUUUCUUAAGCAUUCCUGUUCCUCCAUCUGAAGGAUAUAUGCCUGUCUAUGUGUAGAAAACAAAGCAUGACAAGCACUUCUUCUCAGUCUAGUUAUUCCAUUCUGAGGUAUCAAUACCACCGUCCAUAUCAGUUCUGUCCUCCUUGUUGAAAGCACAGUAGCUAACAAGAUUCUUUUGCAUGUGUUUUAUAAGAAAAUGUUUGUUUUCUUGAUGAUACAGGUUCCGCGUAUUUCUUUGACAGUUUAGUUCAUUGACACCUACUAGCUUUCAUAUUUCACUCCUCCAUUUGAUUAAAUCUUGUCUUUCUCAUAUGGAAUCUUGCUUAAAUACUGUGUCAUGUUCUCCGAAUAAACUCCCCUGUUUUAACGUUACUGCCUUCAAUCAACGCCUUUAUUUUAUUCAUUCCCUCUCAUUUUUCUUUUGAUUCUACAUUAGCAAGAACUGGGGGAUAUGAACCUGAAGGUUUCCAGCGAAAUUCUGAAAGAUAGUGUCAUGUUCUCUGUGGAAUUUAGGUGUGAUUUUUGUUGGCAUUUAGGACUUAGACUCCUUCUUUAUGCUUACCCAAUCAUUUCUGCUUUUCUUUAAUUGAGUUUUGAAGUCUUUAUGCUUACCAAUCAUUAAAAGCACUGGUCAUCACUUGCUCGGAAUUUCUACUUUGUGUACCAUAUGUAGGUUAAGAGAGAAGUGAAAAGAAACAAAAAGGUUAGGUGGGGAAGGUGUGUUUCUUCUCUUUAUUGAGUAUACUGUCGCAAUUCUCUAGACUUAAAGUAACUCUGCCGGUGAGAGUUAUUGCAGUAUCAACAUUUAUCACUUUCUUUUCUCUCAAGCUACUUUUGGAAAACCUAGAUAAGAAUAUAGUUCUUGAAGUAUCCUCCUCAUCUGUUGCUAUUCCAUUCCCUGCUCCUCUUUUCAGAUAUACCUGUGAAUUGUGAGUUAAAAUAAAGAGGUGCAGGGCCUAGAGUUGGAAAGCAACACUGGAGAGUGCACUGUCAGGAGAGAGAUUGGAUUUUUGCAGAAUAUUCUGUGGGGAAGUGCUUCUGAAAUGCGUGAUCCCUGAGUCUAUAUUCCUCAGUCAGAUAGAAAGUUCAAGUCGGUGAAUUGAUGGAUAUCUUUAUUGCACAUUUAUUCAUCUUCAAGGCUAUUUUUUUAUAUCUUUAUAUCUUCAUCACUUUCAAAAGAUGAUCCAUCAUAAAGAUGUGGAGGGGUUUUGUCUUCCAUGAAGUUCAAUAAGACUUGUUUUCUCUCGAGCUGAUUAAAUUGUUGCUUAACACGGCACUCAGGCGGGUCUAUGAGAUUUUGGAAUUAUAUUUCCAUUUCAUGGUGUUUCUUCUCCAUCUCAUAAGGCUAACUGAUGCAUGCAGCCACGAUGGGUUUCAAUGCUUUUGGUGAAAUUACAUAUGACCUUCCACUUCUCUUAUUUUUAUUACUCUCUCUGGCAUAACUCAUAAUGGCUAUCUGGUAUAACUCUUGGACUGAAAAACUGCUACUUGGCAUGGCAUCCCUCGUGGGUCUUUGAGAUUAUGGGAAAAGUUCCAUUUUUUGGUAUUUCUUCUCUGUCCCAUACGUAAACUGGUGCUUGCAGCCAUGCUGGGUUUCAAAACUUUUAAGCUAAUCUUGUUUUGGCGCCGCAAAGUUUAAUAUUUUUUUGUCACCAAAUCACCCUUUUGGUGAAACUGCACGGCCUUCUACUUUUCUUGUUCUUAUUACCCUUUCUGGUAUAACUCAAAAAAAGCAAUUUAACAUGUUCUCUCUUGAGCUGAAUAACUGUUGCUUGGCAUGGCACCUAGGGUGGGUAUAUGAGAUUUAGGAGGAAGUUCCAUUUGUUGGUGCAUUUUCUGUCUCAUAAGGCUAAUUGAUGCCUGCAGCCAUGACAGUGCAGAAACUAGAACUUGAAGGAGAUUGCAUCAUUCUGCAGAAGCUAUCUGCUCGGAGCUACUAGAGCAGUCAUCCCAUCAAUGUGAUCAAUCUUCCACCCCAAGUUGUGGUGACAAUGUAUUGUCUGAUGUAUAGUAAUGUUAACAAAUUUCUCGGGAGGGUUAGGUUUCUUUCUGACAUUAUCUCAAACAAAUAUGUUAGUAAUUCACAUGACCUGAUGUGUUCUCUCUCAGUUAAUUAGCUUCAUUUCUUUCACCCACUUUUCAAGAUUCUCUUGGACUUCAUUCUUAUUAAUCAUGAAAGCAUUAGAGAUUACGAUGUCUAAGUCUCCUAGGCCACAGUCUCUUUCAUAUUCCAUCUUGCUUAUGUUCAGAUCUUGUAAUAGAACUCUCAUGCAUGACAUUUUUUAUUCAAAUUUUCAGAAUUUGCACCUACAAAAAGUCAUGGUUUCUUAGAUUCUGGGACAAAAUGGAUGGACUUCCAUCCAGAGAUUACAGUUGAGUACUUUAACUAUAUCUCAGAUGUUUUUGCAUCUUCUCUAUUCUGCUAAAAUGAUGGAUUGUUACCUUUUCCAAUAUGAGAUGCAGAACGGUACUUGAACGGAGAGUCUUAAGAAUCAGGAUACCAUUGAUAAAACCUGCCUAGAGGGUGCAAAAGUUCUCCAACUGGUGGAUAAGAGAAUAUUUUUGUGACAAUGUCAAAUUUUCUUUGAAUUCUUGCCUGCGAAAAAUCAAGAACUUAUCCAUCUUUUUGAAGUUACACCUGUAUUCUUAAGGCAUAUUUACAGGAAAUAAUGAAAUUGUUAUUUUCAAGAAUAUAUUGACAUUGCAAAUAUAAAGAAAUUCAAGAAAACUUUCUUUCUCCAAAAAAUUCUGUUGUUUUUCUCGUAGAUGUUCUAGAAUUUGGUUUGGAGUAUGUUUAUCUUGUAUGAUUUCAGUAGGGUUGUUGAGGAGUUGGUUUCAACAGCCGUAGGAAUUGAAUGUUGUGGAGUUGUUCUUGAAGUCUCCACUCACACAACUUUUAAAGAUAGUAUACUGAUGUUCUUGAUGCUGGCAUCAUCUUUUCUAUUGUAUUGAUUUCGAUGUACAUACUUGGAAUGGUCGUUGUAGCCAUAGGAUUGCAUGCAUUACUCAACUAAUAGGCCGUUCUGGCGGUUUGUGUUCGUUGGUUUGCAUAUGUACUCCGGAAGCCCAAUGAGGGUUUUGCAUUCUCUGAAAGAGUCUCUGCUAAGAAUCUACCUUGUGCGUCCCACUGUCUCCUUCAAAAUUGUUGACAUUGAAAGUGAGGAUGAACGACUUUGCACACAUGCUUCUCCUUCUCUCCGUUGCCGCUAUUGUCCACUGGGAUUUUCAUUCCUCUGAGUUCCGUUAACAAAUUGAAUUAAAUUGAAUUCAACAGAUGGUUCAUUCAAGCUCACGGCAGGUCUUGAUGUUUACAUAAUGAAUGUAUAUGGGCCCAAAUUAAUGGAUAAGAGAUGUGAUAAGUUAUCUUUUUUAAAUUUUGUUUCUUUAACAACCACUGUUUAAUCUUAAGAUUUGGUUAACAUUUACUAUAAUCUGGAGACCAUGUUCUCAGGCUACCAUGUGUCUUUUCAGUAAUGUGUAAAAUGAUGUUAUUCUUUUCUUUACAUUUGCCAUCUAGUUAUACAAUUAGUUGUGUUGAAGUAGCUGAAAGUACAAGACACAAUAAGUAUAUGAAUAUAUGUGAUGCAGCUCAGUAGUAUUGUUUUUUUUAGUGUUGUAAUGUAAUAUUGUGUUGGUGAUUAAGAAGAACGUAUUUUCAAGUCAAAGAUUCUAAAUCUGCAUAACUGUAAGUACUUCCUUUCCUCCAACCUCUCUGCAUUGUUGUUUCUUCAUCUGAAGCCGUUCUGGAGGACUUCUCCUAUUGAUAUUACCAAGUGGCUAAACUAUAUCUAUUCUCAGAUUUGGCACCCAGAGCUUUGUAUGUGAGAGGCACUGUUGUAGAUAUGAUGUUCAACGCUUUCUUUUCUUUGAAGUUGUUGAUCACUUCUGUAUGUAGGCAUGUUUUGAUUAUUUCUUCUUGCUGAAGUUGAGCUGGAACAUACAUAUUCAUGCUUAGUGACAUCAAAAUGCUGCCAUUCAGAUGUUAUGCAUGCUUUCCCGGCAAGCUUUGGCUUGAAAGGAGAGGCUCUGAGACUUUGUCGAAAAUCGUUACUAAAACUCAUGGGAUCGAAAGGUUUGAAGGAUGACAUGUGUUUGUGCCUUGGAAUUUUUGAUUGUAGACAAGAAAAUCUUAAGAAUUAUUGAUACAAUGAGCUAUGCUCUCCUCUAGGGUGGAUGGGGACUUGGAUAAAUGGAUUGAUACUGGAUCUCGAGGUAAAGUAGAUGAGCUUAUAAGGAAAAAGAAGAGUAUAAGAAGUCAUACAACUCUUCCAUUUUUCUAGCACAAGAAGAAGUUCUUUACCACAAUUGAGUCUGCAAGAAGGAAGCAGGAAUUAAUAAUAUUAAGACUGUUAAUGAUGUGCCACUCUUGCCAGAAACUAGAGCUGUAAGGGGACUGCAUCAUUCUGUAGAAACUAUCUGGUCGGAGCUUCCAUGGCAGUCCCAUCAUGCCAAGUGCGAAAAUAAAACUUGUUAACAUCUGAAAUAACGAAUUACAAGGUAAAGGGGAGUGCACAAGUACACACGAUGGGGAGUCAAAAUAAGUUGUUACUAAAACUCAUGGGAAUCCAAAUGGAUAUUGUAAGAUUUCAGGACGACAAGCGUUUAUUCCUUGGAAUUGAUGAUUGUAGACAAGAUGUUGGUAGAAUAGGUAAUUAUGUAUAAGCCUACAUGAUACAAGUGUUGACUAUUGUUUGCUAAUAAGGUAAUUUCUUGGGAUUUUUCUCUUUGUAAUCAUUGUUCAUGAUGUAUUUUACAACCAACCAGUUUAAAGGAAGCAAAUGCACUCCAAGUACUUCUAGUUUUCUCACAAUUCAAACAAAUAAAUAUUGAUCUACUUCUACUCUGUCCUGAUUGAUCUUUUGGUUUCCAUAUAUAAUUUGGAAAACGAAUGAAGGUCUUGCAUUCUCUGAAAUAGUCUUUGCUAAGAAUUUCCCUUGUGCUUCCCGUGUCUCCUUCAAAAUUGUUAAUAUUGAAAGGUCAGUCUCUGUUAUACCAGCUAAUUUAAGGAUAUUUCCUUCUGGUUCCUUCGAUUUUGUAAGUUUGAAUGCAGUGAGGAUGAUAUACUUUGCACAUGUGCUUCUCCUUCUCUGAUGCUGCUAUUGUCCAGUGGGGUUUGGCAUUCCUCUGAGUUCCCUUAACAAAUUGAAUUGAAGUGAUUGUUCAUUCAAACUCUCAGGAUACCUUCUCAGGUCCUAACUAGAGGCCCAAAUUAAUGGAUAAGGGAUGUGAUAAGUUAUCUUUUCUACACUUUGUUUCUGUAACGACCUGUUAAGCUUUGCAGGUCCUUCAGUAUUUCCGCGUCCACUUAUUUCAGUAUGUUGUUCUGGCAAAAGAAAUCGGAAGACUUAUAUUUGGUUGACAUUUACUAUGUCGUAUCUUUGUUUUGCACAGGGGAGUGCACAACUACACGCGAUGGGGUGUCAAAAUAAGGUAAACCAUUCCUGCCAUUUGUUCCUGACUUGAAUAUGAGCAGAAAUUUUUUGGUGCAUGUUCAGUUAAAGAAAAAGAAAAACGGAAAACUAAUCUUUGGUUAACAAUUACUAAAUUCGAUGUUUGGUUUUUACGGUGUUCUGUUUUCCUUGACCUUCGUAAUGCAGAUUUUAUUUUGAUAUUUCUUUUCAAAGGACCAAUACAAAAAUUACUUAAUAACAUAGCUACGAGUUUUGACAGUGCUUCUGACAUUGAGCAGCGAAGUAAAUCUCAGAUAUAUUUACUGUCUUUGUUGAACCUAAACUGCCUAGAUAAACUUUAUAUGAUUUGACUUUGGAGCCUUUAAAGAUAUCUGUGGUUUCCUGCUUUAUGCUUACCCAAUCAUUUCUGCUUCCCUUGAAAUGAAUUUCAGUCUUUUUUUUUUACAAAUUUACAUCAACUUUCGUAAAUCUUGAUGUUUGUUACAUCAAUCUUCUUGGAGCCUUGCUAUCUUUAGGAUAUUGUGACGUCCAGCUGUAUAUGAUUUUGAGUGGGAUCAGGGUAGAGGGGUGGCUCAUCAGGAGUUUGAAACUUGUAGGUCCAUCUGGGCCAUCUGAUUCACAAGAAAAAUUUCUUUUUUUUUUCAGAAAAUAGAGCCCUAGCAAAAAAUUUUAGGUUGAUCUUCAUUCUUCGGCUAUGGAGGUUGGAAACGCAGCUUUGACCUAACAAAUAUGCUAACACUGUUGAUCUUUUGCAUUAUUCUAGAGACUCAAGAGCUUUUGAGGAUACCUUUUUAUGUACCCUUUGUUUCAAAAGGUAUCAACUUACCUCCUUCAGGUUAGGCUCUAAGGAAUUGACAAAAUUCUUAUUUUUCUUUGAUUAGUGAAGGAAGUGGGAGCAAUGUAAGCAGAGGACUGUGUUUGGUUCCUCUUAGUUUUUCGACUGCAGACCAUGCUGUAGAUCAAACUUGAGAACUGUUGCACUUUUUAGUGUUACAGAAUUUUGUUUUAACUGAUUACGUUGUCGGAUUCUGUCGACAUUUUGCUAUGAACUGGAUAGGAAUCUACUGACUUCAAUGCCAUGUUAUUUGUUAAAAGCACUGGUCAUCACUUGCUCGGAAUUUUUACUGUGUACCAUACGUAGGUUAAGAGAGAAGUGGUUUGACUUAACGCCAUGAGAAAGAAACAAAAGGUUAGGUGGGGAAGGUGUGGUUCUUCUCCUUAUUGAGUAUAUUGUCGCAAUUCUCUUGACUUAAAGUAACUCUGCAGGUGAGAGCAGUUGCAGUAUCAACAUUUAUCACUUUCUUUUCUUUCAUGCUACUUUUGGAAAACCUAGAUAAGAAUAUAGUUUUUGAAGUAUCCUCCUCAUCUGUUGCUAUUCCAUUCAGAUAUACCUGUGAAUUGUGAGAUAAAAAAAAAUAGGCACAGAGCCCAGAGUUGGAAAGCUACACUGGGGAGUGCACUGUCAGGAGAGAGAUUGGAUCUUUGCAGAAUAUUCUGUGGGAAAGUGCUUCUGAAAAGCGUGAUCCCUGUGUCAGAUUCCUCAGUCAGAUAGAAAGUUCAAGUCGGUCAAUUAAUGGAUAUCUUUAUUGCACAAUUAUUCAUUUUCAAGGCUAUUUUGUUUAUUUCUGAUGAUACUUUCUUAAACUUUAUAUCUUCAUCACUUUCAAAGAUGAUCCAUCAUAAAGAUGUGGAGGUUUUGUCUUCUGUGGAAGUUCAAUAAGAGACUUGUUUUCUCUCGAACUGAUUAAAUUGUUGCUUAGCAUUGCACCUCAGGUGGGUCUGUGAGAUUUUGGAAUUAUAUUUCCAUUUCAUGGCGUUUUUUCUCCAUCUCAUAAGGCUAACUGAUGCAUGCAGCCACGAUGGGUUUCGAUGCUUUUGGUGAAAUACAUAUGACCUUCCACUUCUCUUAUUUUUAAUACUCUCUCUGGUAUAACUCAUAAUGGCUAUCAACAUGUUCUCUCUUGGACUAAAAAACUGCUACUUGCGCAUGGCAUCCCUCGUGGGUCUUUGAGAUUAUGGAAAAAGUUCCAUUUUUUGGUAUUUCUUCCGUGUCUCAUACGUAAACUGAUGCUUGCAGCCAUGCUGGGUUUCAAAACUUUUAAGCUAAUUGUGUUUUGGUGCCGCAAAGUUCAAUAUUUUUUUGUCACCAAAUCACCCUUUUGGUGAAACAGCACGCCUUCUACUUUUCUUGUUCUUAUUACUCUUUCUUGUAUAACUCAAAAAAAGCAAUUUAACAUGUUCUCUCUUGAACUGAGUAACUGUUGCUUGGCAUGGCACCUAGGGUGGGUAUAUGAGAUUUAGGAGGAAGUUCCAUUUGAUGGUGCAUUUUCUGUCUCAUAAGGCUAAUUGAUGCCUGCAGCCAUGACAGUGCAGAAACUAGAACUCGAAGGAGAUUGCAUCAUUCUGCAGAAGCUAUCUGCUCGGAGAUACUAGAGCAGUCAUCCCAUCAAUGUGAUCAAUCUUCCACCCCAAGUUGUGGUGACAGUGUAUUAUCUGAUGUAUAGUAAUGUUAACAAAUUUCUCGGGAGGGUUAGGUUUCUUUCUGACAUUAUCUCAAACAAAUAUGUUAGUAAUUCACAUGACCUGAUGUGUUCUCUUUCAGUUAAUUAGCUUCAUUUCUUUCACCCACUUUUCAAGAUUCUCUUUGGACUGCAUUCUUAUUAAUCAUGGAAGGAUUAGAUAUUACGAUGUGUAAGUCUCCUAGGCCACAGUCUCUUUCAUAUUCCAUUUUGCUUAUGUUCAGAUCUCGUAAUAGAACUCUCAUGCAUGACAUUUUUUAUUCAAAUUUUCAGAAUUUGCACCUACAAAAAGUCAUGGUUUCUUAGAUUCUGGGACAAAAUGGAUGGACUUCCAUCCAGAGAUUACAGUUUGAGUACUUUUAACUAUAUCUCAGAUGUUUUUGCAUCUUCUCUGUUCUGCUAAAAUGAUGGAUUGUUACCUUUUCCAAUAUGAGAUGCAGAACGGUACUUGAACGGAGAGUCUUAAGAAUCAGGAUACCAUUGAUAAAACCUGGCCUAGAGGGUGCAAAAGUUCUUGGUAUAAUUGAUCAGGUCUAUUCUGGCCUUUGUAUAGUCCAUUAUGUCUGUUCUUGGUUUCUCAAAUUUUUUAUUAUUAUGCAUUUAUUUUAAAAGAUUGUUUCUCUAAGAGAUUGUUUGGUUGAACUCAUUAGAAAAUAUAAAUCUUAGCAUAAACUUCUUCAUAAAUAGUAUAAAUCUUAGCAUAAACUUCCUCAUAAUUAACAUCUUUAAGUUUGAGACAUUUGAAUUUCAUGUCGAUAUUUGUCGCAUCUUGAGUGUAUUUUUUUAAAAAAAAACUUGCUCAUUUUUGUGGUGCCUUAAUUCGUUCAAUGAUGAACAAUUGUUAUGUUAUACAGCCCCAUAAUUUCUAUUAUUUAGUUUUACUUUCUAAUACUUUCAUUUAUUGCAUGAACGUUUGGUGUUGAUUUGAUUUUAUCGCAAAGAAUCUUAUAUAAAGAUAUUCUUUGUUGGUCAAUAUAUAAAUCUUUUUGAAUAGUUUAGGAACAUAUUUUACCAUUUUCUCAAUAAUAAAUAAAUUAUUAAUUAGAGUAGUUUUCAUGUUUUUUUUCCGCAUCCUUUUAUUUUCUCAAAGCGUGUCUUAGAAAGCUUUAAGUAGACGCUACAGACGCAAUUUAGAACUGAAGAACGACGCUACAUACGCCGGCGCAGAGUAUGCCACCGGUACACUACCGGUGACGAAUCAAAACCAUAAACCCUAAAAUGAUUUUCUUGCAUCUAUAGCUUCUUCCAUCCAUUAACUGUUAUGUUACAAUGUCAGAUUUGCUUUUUAAGAAAAAAAUCAAGAACUUGUUGUUUUUUGAAGUUCAAGAAAUCUUUUCUUUUUCCAAAAAUUUCUGUUGUUAUUUUUGUAGUGUAUGUUGAAGAUGUUCAAGAAUUUGUUUUUACUUUUUUUAAGAAAAUGCCUGAGGCUGUUUUGUUUUGAGAGUAAAUUUUCACAAGGGUUGUUGAGGAAUUGAAUGGAAAGAUAUUCUUGAUGCUGACGUCAUCUUUCCUAUUGUAUUCAUGCUGCUGUACAUAAUUUCUUUUGCCCAACAAUUAUGAUGUUCAUAAACUGGAUUGAUUGUUGUAGUCUAUAGGAUUGCAUGCAUUACUCACUUGAUAUGCUGUUUGGCGGUUUGUGUUCAUUGGUGUAUUUCAAUAUAAUUUUGUGGUUUUACUUGUAAUUUGGAAAACUGGUAUGUUGUCUGGCCAAUUAACUGUAGUUUCGUAUGCUUGCUUUACACCAGCCAUUAAGUUUUUUAGGUAAAGUUCUUUUGAGUUUUAGGGUGUAGGAUUCAUUAGGAUAGGACUUAGGAGUAGAACUACUUACUUGAUCUUUGUCGGUGCCAAUGUUUACUGGUCAUUCUCUGUUAUACCACAGAAUAUUUCCUUCUGGUUCCUUCGAUUUUGUAAGUUUGUGUGCAGUGAGGAAGUUGUACUUUCUUUUGAAGGAUCAUUUGAAGUCUUACCCUUCUUUUGAAAGAUCAUCUGAAGUUGUACUUUCUUUUGAAGGAUGAUCUAACUUUCUCUUGAAUGAUCAUCUAAAUUUGUACUUUCUUUUGCAGAAUCAUCUGACUUUGCACUUUCUUCUGAAGGAUCAUCUGAAGUUGUACUUUCUUUUGAAGGAUCUGCAGUUUCACGAGAUGUUAUGGGAUAAGGAAAUGGUGGUCUGUUUUUGGCAAAAUGUUGAUCUGCCAUCAUCUUUUCUAUUUAACUGAUACUGCUGUUCAUAAUUUCCUUUUGCCUGACAACUGUGAUGUUUGAAUGAUUGUUCAUUGUUGUAGUCCUAUAGGAUUGCAUACAUUACUCAACAGUUUCACCAUAUCUUGAUACUGUUCUGGUUCUUGACUUUCUUGGAAGGCAUUAAAAGAUAGCAAUGACGAUGACAAUGUGGAAGUGUUGUAGUUAGUGUUGUUAGCAGCAGAAUUAGGUAUGGGUUGUACUGACUUUUUCCAAAUCAUUGCUUGAAGAAGCCUUAACAGGCAAUGAACCUGAGGCCAGUGUAGGCUUUUGUUUCUCCUUGAUCUCUUCUUGUUGCCUUUUGCUCUCUGUUGUGGUCUGUAUGUUCUUGCCUUUGUAAGUAGUAAUUAGUGCUCUUCUACCGUCUUUUCUAUACAAAUUAUUUAGGUGCACAUAUUGUAUGUUUACCUCAGUUUUUGUUUGUUAUGUACUUGUGUGUGUGUAUAUAUAUAUAUAUAUAUAUAUAUAUAUAUAUAUAUAUAUAUUGUGGGAAAUUAUAUGUUUUCUGAUUUUGUUAAUGUUUUGAGGAUCAAUAGUUAUGGCAAGUUGUGCUUUUAUGCAAGUAUAAUCGCUUAGAAUAGUUUCACAAAAGACAUCAGUGAGACUUUUCAAUGAAUUCUUAUGUUCCUUUGUUUGCUACUUCUGAUUACAAGGGAAUAUGCUAUAUAUAAAAAUUGAUAUACCUUUCUCCUCCUGCUCCUAGUAUGAUGCUCCAUUCUAGUAUCAUAAGUAUAUUUUUUUUCUCCAAAUGAAUAUUCUUAUAUCACAACACUGUGUCUUUUUUUCCAUGAUAUUUACUUCCUUGUAAGACUGUUCUUUUUUAUGUUUGUUAUUUUUAUAAGUAGUGUACUCCAAGUUUGAACCUGACCCAGUUUCCACCAGGUAUAUGUUAAAUUGCAACAUCUCUCCUCUAAGGCGUGCACAGUUUGCUUAUAUUCCGCCUUAGGAACAUCUCUCUUUUUUAGUUUCUUGCUGGACUAAUAAAUGAUUUCAGCUAGAGCAGCCAGACGGACUACUAUGUUAUAAGUGAAAGGGUAUGGUAUAGCAGCCUUUCCGAGCGAUCCUCUGGGAUAUCCCGAUAUAGGCAUUAGGACCUGCUAUGUUAUAAGGUUGAUGACAAUGGUAAGUAUUAGUUUCUUUGACAUUGAUCUAAUGCAUUUGAUCUGCAGAAAGUUCUACUCAAUAUAUUAUAUUAGUUCAUCAUUUGAAGUAGUACAUAAUUUCUUUUGCCCAACAAUUAUGAUGUUCAUAAUUUGGAAUGGUUAUUGUAGUCUAUAGGACUGCAUGCAUUACUCAACUGAUAGGCUAUGUGGCGGUUUUUGUUCAUUAGUGCCUUUCAAUAUAAUUUGUGGUUUUACUUGUAAUUAGGAAAACUGGUAUGCUGUCUGGCCAUUUUAACUGUAGUUUUGUAUGCUUGCUUUACACCAGCUACAUCAAAAUACAGCCAUUAAGAUUAAUUGCAUGUUUUUCCAACAAGUUUGGGCUCUAAAUAAGAGGCUCUGAGCUCUAUUGCUGCCGUUUCUUUGUUGGAAGCUAAAUGGAUAUUGUAAGUUUUUCAGGUGAAGUUCUUUUGAGUUUUAGGUUGUAGGAUCCAUUAUGAUAGGUGUAAAACUAGUUACUUGGUCUUUGUUCUUGCCAAUGUUUAAUGGAGGGCAAGCAUUAAUUCCUUGGAAUUGAUGAUUGUAGACAAAAUGUUGGUAGAGUAGGUAAUUUUGUAUAAGCCUACCUGAUACAAGUGUCGUUUACUGCUUGCUAAUAAGGUAAUUUCUCGGGAUUUUCCUCUUUGUAGUCAUUGUUCGUGAUGUAUUUUACUACCUAUCAGUUUGAAGGAAGCAAAUGCACUCCAAGUACUUCUAGUUUUCUCACAAUCCAAACAUAUUGAUUUACUUACUUUACUCCUAAAUCUCUACAUUGUCCUGAUUGAUCUUUUUGUUUCCAUAUAUAAUCUGCAAGCCAGUGAUGGUCUUGCAUUCUCUGAAAUAGUCUUUGCUAAGAAUUUCCCUUGUGCUUCCCAGUAUCUCCAUCUAAAUUGUUGAUAUUGAAAAGUUAGUCUCUGUUAUACCAGCUAACUUAAGGAUAUUUCUUUCCAGUUCCUUCGAUUUUGUAAGUUUGUGUGCAGCGAGGAUGACAUGCUUUGCACACGUGCUUCUCCUUCUCUGAUGCCUCUAUUGUCCAACGGGUUUUGGCAUUCCUCUGAGUUCCCUUAACAAAUUGAAUCCAAGUGAUGGUUCAUUCAAGCUCUCAGGAUACAUUUCAGGUCCUAAUGUUAACAACCUGUUUGAAUUUGCAGGUCGUUCAGUAUUUCUACGUCCACUUAUUUAGUAUGUUUUCAUGUCAAAAGAAAACAGAAGACUUAUAUUUGGUGGACAAUUUACUAAUGCGUUAUCUUUGUUUUGCACAGUGUUUUUGUUUUCAUUGACCUUUGUAUAAAGGAAAUUCGACUUUAUAUGAUAGCGAAGCUUACUCUUUAGUACCCCUACUUAAUCUUAUGUACUCUUGUGAUGUUUGACCGAGUCAUCUGUUAAUAGGGGGAGGCUGCUGUUUUAUUUCCAGACGGAUUUUGGUGAUAGACGUGUGUAGGGUAAAUACUUGUUGCCAAAUAUGCCCCGAAAACAGGAUUCCUUACCCGGGCAUAUGUCUAGGCAUGCAAUUGCUGUGAUUGAGUUUGCUAGAUCCAUUCUUGGAUUGCAAGAUGCGAACUGUACAGAGUUUGAUACCAACACUCACAAUCCUUGUGUAAUUUUUAUGCCGGAAAUUAAGUUAUGAUACUUCCCUUUUAUCAUGAAUUUUCCUCAUGCUCUUCAUGUGUGUUAGGUUUCAUUUUAGUAGCGGCUAUAUUAAUCUGUAGACCAUGUCCACAGGGUUCAAAAGCGCAUAUAAGUAGACUAAACAUUUGGAUUUAAGAAUGUGAGUCUAGCGUCGACUAGAGUAGAGUUAUGUGAAAAGGUAUAGCAGCCUUUCCGAGCAAGCCUCUGGGAUCUCCUGGUAUAGGCAUUUGAUGACAAUGAAUCAUCUGACUUUGCACUUUCUUCUCAAGGAUCAUCUGAAGUUGUACUCUUUUUUUUUGAAGGAUCUGCAGUUUCACGAGAUGGACUGGUGGUUAUGGGAAAAGGAAAUGGUGGUCUGUUUUUGGCAAAAUGUUGAUCUGCCAUCAUCUUUUCUGUUUUACUGGAUACUUCUGUUCAUAAUUUCCUUUGCCUGACAACUGUGAUGUUUGAAUGAGUCCUAUAGGAUAGCAUACAUUACUCAACAGUUUCACCAUAUCUUGAUAACACUUUCUUGGAAGGCAUUAAAAGAUAGCAAUAUGUGGAAGUGUUGUAGUUAGUGUUGUUAGCAGCAGAAUUAGGUAUGGGUUGUACUGACUUUUUCCAAAUCCCAAUCAUUGCUUGAAGAAGCCUUAACAGGCAAUGCAUUCGUUCCAUUUUCAUAACACCUCUUUCGGUUCUUGUUGUUCUGGAAAAGCGUUAAAAGAUGUUAAAGCCCAUUUAGUACAA